AACGCAUAUUGCACUCUCUGGUAUUCCGGAGAGUACACCUGUUUCAGUAUCAAAAAUGUCUUCCAAAGUUUUGGUUUGUUUUUAUAUAUACCAAAUCUUAUGGGAUUUGGGUUUUGCAGAACCUUUACGUUCGGCUGGCCUUAAAUUAUUUUAGCCAUAAAAGGUCUCGGAUAAGGCGUAAUAGUUGGUACCUCUGGGUCCAUCCCUUUCGCUGAAGCCAAUCUUUUUAAUUUCUGGCUCAAUAAAUAUGGAAAAAUGAAAUAUAUAUAUUUCAUCAUUGUUUAGAUCUGAAAUCAGGUGGGAUUACCCGCUGAACUUAA
rnacentral:misc_RNA from 1 species